AAGUGGAGCAAUCCAUGAGUAUAGUGGCGACCCGGUGAGUAACACGUGACUGCCUGCCCUUGAGUGGGGGAUAACCUCGGGAAACCGAGGCUAAUACCGCAUAAUAUCGCAAGAUCAAAGGAGCAAUCCGCUUUUGGAGGGGGUCGCGGCUGAUUAGCUAGUUGGUAAGGUAAUGGCUUACCAAGGCGAAGAUCGGUAUCCGGCCUGAGAGGGCGCACGGACACACUGGAACUGAAACACGGUCCAGACUCCUACGGGAGGCAGCAGUGGGGAAUUUUGCGCAAUGGGGGAAACCCUGACGCAGCAACGCCGCGUGGAGGAUGAAGCCCCUUGGG
rnacentral:rRNA from 1 species